CGACCAAGAGAUCGGAUAACACCUGGAAACAGAUGCUAAUACCGGAUAACAACAGAUGAUGCCUAUCAACUGUUUAAAAGAUGGUUCUGCUAUCACUCUUGGAUGGACCUGCGGUGCAUUAGCUAGUUGGUAGGGUAACGGCCUACCAAGGCGAUGAUGCAUAGCCGAGUUGAGAGACUGAUCGGCCACAUUGGGACUGAGACACGGCCCAAACUCCUACGGGAGGCAGCAGUG
rnacentral:rRNA from 1 species